UCCGGUUGAUCCUGCCGGAGGUCACCGCUAUUAGGAUACGCUUAAGCCAUGCGAGUCAAAGAGCAAUCUUGGCGCACCGCUCAGUAACACGUGGACAAUCUACCCUUCGGUGGGGGAUAAUCUUGGGAAACUGAGGAUAAUACCCCAUAGGUCUAGGAUGCUGGAAUGCUUCUAAACUAAAAGUUCCGACGCCGAAGGAUGAGUCUGCGGCCUAUCAGGUUGUAGCAAGUGUAACGCACUUGUUAGCCUACAACGGGUACGGGCCAUGAGAGUGGUUGCCCGGAGAUGGACUCUGAGACAUGAGUCCAGGCCCUACGGGGCGCAGCAGGCGCGAAAACUUCGCAAUGUGCGCAAGCACGACGAGGGAAUCCUAAGUGCCUAUGCUUUGCAUAGGCUGUUCUCCUGUCUAAAAAACAGGGGGAGUAAGGGCUGGGUAAGACGGGUGCCAGCCGCCGCGGUAAUACCCGCAGCCCAAGUGGUGAUCGUUAUUA
rnacentral:rRNA from 1 species